UACUAGAGUAGCACUCGCAUAUCAAUAAGCGGAGGAAAAGAAACUAACAAGGAUUUCCCUAGUAACGGCGAGUGAAGCGGGAAGAGCUCAAAUUUGAUAUCUUAAAGGGUUUCCCUUUACGAAUUGUAGUUUAAAGAAGUGUUUUCUGUUGAGGUUUUGGUAAAAGUUCUUUGGAAUAGGACAUCAUAGAGGGUGAGAAUCCCGUAUUUGACCUUUACUUUCAACUUUGUGAUACACUUUCAAAGAGUCGGAUUGUUUGGGAAUGCAGUCCAAAAUGGGUGGUAAAUUUCAUCUAAAGCUAAAUAUUGGCGAGAGACCGAUAGCGAACAAGUACCGUGAGGGAAAGAUGAAAAGAACUUUGAAAAGAGAGUUAAACAGUACGUGAAAUUUGUCAAAAGGGAAGCGUUUGACACCAGUGUUGUUUUUCUGAAAAUCAAUUAAAGAACUGUUUAUGCUAAGUUGUUUAGACUUUAUCAGCUAUCUGCUUAGUUUUGAGCUUUUCUUUAAUGCACUUUUCCAGUUAACAGGUCAACAUCAAUUUCUUUUGCUGUAAAAAAGCUUGAGGAAGGUGGCUUGAGAUUCGUCUUAAGUGUUUAUAGCCUCUUGCCUAUGCAGUCGGAGAGAUUGAGGUCUGCAGCGUAGAUCCUUCGGGGCUAAAUGCAUUUGUGCUAAGUUAUAGCAUUUUAUAGACAACUUGUUGACUAUGAUUUGUCUUGUAGCUUACUCGCUUAUGUUAUUUUACCUACGCUUAGGAUGUUGAACUCUAUCACACACAG
rnacentral:rRNA from 1 species